CACAGUGGAGAGGGAGUGCCUCGCCAUCAGGUGGGCGGUCGGGUACCUCCAAUGCUACCUCCUGGGGCGCUCAUUCAGCCUCUGCUCGGACCACAAACCCCUCCAGUGGGUACAAUCAUUGGUCUGCCUGGUUGGCCACGCCUAUAAAAACAGCUGAGAGGCAAGACGUCACAGUGGUCAGGUGACCCUUCUGAAGAAGACUGCAGAUGGUCGAAACAUGGCAGAUGAGACUCUUGAGGCUCCUGGUGAGGAUCAGGCAGACAGUCCAUGGUCAGCAUCAACAGUCAAGACCCUCUGGAAGCGUCUGUUUCUUCUCAGCGACCCAGCCUCCACUCGCAGACGCAAGGAAAUAAG